CACUAGUUAAUUCUCCAAACAGAAGCCAGAGGGAAUCUGUUAAAUCAGGAGAGGAGUCUGUGCCAUUCAGGGGGAAUGUUUCUCUCCAAUACAGCAGAUCCUCAAGGCAGAAAAAGGGUAAGGAUGUUUCCUAAUUCCCAGUGGAGUGGUGAGGAUUCCCUGAGAUCGUGUCUAUACCAGCCUGGGAAAAUAACAAAGCAACGACAGCAAUGACUUCCCUCCCUGGUGGCGACCACUGUUUUUCAGCCUUUUCCACAAAGUACCCCGUUGAAUACAAAGGACUCAAUUCAUGGUGGUGAUUUCCAAAGUAGGACAAAUGACUUCACUUUAAUCCUGUUUGCCUCUUCUGUAAAGUGGGCUCUAUAACCCCCUCCGUCAAUGAGCUGUAUCAGUGGGGUUGUGCUGAAAAGGUGUCUGGCCCUUGUAGGUGCUUGCUAAAUGGUAGCCCCUGUUUGGGUGCGGUAAUAGGGAGUCGCUGAAGGUUCCUGGGGAGGGAAGUAGCUUUGAUGUCAUGAACGCACACCCCAGCUCCCCAGAUGCUCGCACCUGAGGCUUAGUUGCAGGAUCUAGUUUGUUGGAGAACUGUCUCAUUUGGAAACCCGAAUUUAUUUGUGCCAAUAUUUCAUUAUUAUCCACGUCGUCUGCUGGUCUUCAGUUCCAUGAGGCUGGUGCCCAGGUGGUGUCACUCAUCACUCUGCUCCUAGCAUCCAGGCCUGGGUGGUGCAGAGACAAUCAAACAGAUGACCUUUGUUGAAUGCCUACUAUGUGCCAGGCACUGUUCCAAGGGCUCAGCCAAUAUGUGUUAAAUCUUUCACAAGGGGGGAAUUCUCCACAGCUCUGAGUCAGUUAUCUCCUUUCCUAGACCCUCAACCUCCAUCCUUCUGGCUUCCCUCCCUCCUGCCUGCUCCUGCCUGGUGUUUCCAUCACACCAGGGCAUGACCUUCCCUCCCAAAGCCUCCGUUUGUUGCCCUGGAAAACCAGGAUGAUCUCACCCCUCUUUUCCUGGCCUUACAGGCAUAAAGAUGCCUAAGUGGUCGAUGUCAUUGUUUGCAAAGGGCAAGAGAGAGCCACUGAAGGUGCUGGAGGAAGGCAGGAUGUCAACAGAAGGAAAGGGAAGGGGUUUAAAGACGAUUGGCUUGGACACACCCUUCCCCCUCUACUCCUUAAGACCCAAACAAAUGGGUAUGUGUGUGUGUGUGGGGGGGGGGAAACAUUAGAAAGUUUGCAGAAAAUGACACUCCCCCCCCAACCCCCAAUUCCUUGUGGUUUCUCAAACAUGCAGCACCAACCCACCUCACAGCAUUUGUCCCUGCUGUUCCCUCCACCCGGUUCUUCAUUCAGGUCAAAGGUCAUCUCACCAGAGGGUGACAUGCUCACUCAUCACAGCGCCAUGCGGUUUUCUCAGAAACCCUUACUGAUAUCUGGCGCUCUACAGCAGGUCGGUUUAUUAUCUGGACCAGCUCUGUCCCGAGACAACUUCUUGCAAUGAUAGAAUGUUCUAGAUCUGUGCUGUCCAACAGGGCAGACCCAGCCGCCCGCCACACGGGGCUCCUGAACACUGAGGAACUGAACUUGUAUCCGUUCUUAACUGUUUUAUUUCAAAUGUAUUUACUUGUUCUAAAUCUAAAUAGAAACAGCCAUGUGUGGCUGGUGGCUAGACUCUAUUGGGUGGUGCAGAUCUAGAAUCCCAGCUCCUCAUAGUGGGGGCACUGGU